UAUCAAGUAGCAGACAUGAAUAAAUCAGGCAGUUACCACAUCCCACAAGACCAAUGAGGGAAACCCUGCUCACAUCCACAUGCUGAAAUGAGAGAGCUCUGGGCAGAGCAGUGUCUCUCCAUGGGGAGCUUCCAGUACCUCGUUCCCACUGGAAGUUGUAUGCCAUGGGCUAAAAAAUAGUAACCCUGUUGGAAAUGGUUUUCCUCCUAGCUGGUCUCAAAGGGGAAGUGUCUUUAAUGCCCUUAGCUGUUUGCUGCUCUCCUCCCUCCCCCUCUUACAAGGCUGAGGUCAGCCUGCCCCAGGACAAAGAGUCUUGGAGGACACUUGAGAUAAACAGGCUUGAGUCUGGGACAAGUGGACUCUUGUUCCCAAGAGUCAGCUCUCAACAUGGACAAACAGCACGUGACAGUUUACCAAUAUAAUUAUAUUACAGGAUCCCAGGUAUCCUGUAAAUUCAAGGUCAUCCUAAGCAUCAUAGCAAGUUCAAGGCCAGCCCUGGGUUACAAGACACCCUGUUUUAAGAAAAAAGGAGAAAAAAAAAAGAUUUAACUGAGUGUAAUAGCUCAUACCUUUAAUCCCAGUACUCUGGGAGUCAGGGGAAGAUGGGUCUGUUGUGAGUUCAAGGCCACCCUGGUCUAUACAGAGAGAGACCUAAGUUAGCCAGGGUGACAUAGUAAACCCCUGUCUCAAAAGGGGGCAGGUACUGGGAUUGUGGCUCAGUUGGUAGAGUGCCUGCCUAGUACACAGGCCUUGUGUUCAAUCAUCAGCACAAACCUGUCAUUCCAGCACUCCCGAGGGAGAGGUGCGGUGACCACAAGCCAGGGUCAUCCUCAGCUACAUGGUGACCCAGAAGCCGGUAGAGGAAAUGGGGAGGAUGAUUUAAAAGCAGGCUGUAUCCACCCUUCCCCAUACACACAUACUCCAGCCCCAAGGAUAGGAAAUGACCAUCAGUGCUUCCCAGCGCUGCCUGGAAACUAUGUCCCCAGCAGAGUGCCAGGUCCACAAAUAGAGUGAAUAUUUACUCAUGGGAACAUUUGCUGGUAAUUGGAAGCUUAUUAUCAUGGCACAAGCAUCACACAUCGGGUACAACAGUUGUGCCAGAAGCACAGGGGCACAUUUGGGAAGUAGGGGAAAGGUAAAAGAUACGGACAGACCAGGGUCACACCGAGCUUUAUUGGGCUCGGAGUGCAGGAAAUCAAUGGUGACCCUGGAGUCUGGGAAAGGGGUUAUAGUAACCACAUGAAAAGUUGCAAAGAGCAAAAUGAAGCGUGGUGAGAUCAUGUAUUGACCAGGUGGUGGAUCAGGUAGUUCAAGGUCAUCCUCAAUUACAUAGUACAUUCUAGGCCAGCCUGGGCUGCAUGAGACCCCAUUUCAAAAAGACAAAACACAUAAACAGAACAAAACGAGAUUAACCCUGUUAUUUUCAAAUUAUUAAGUGGAAGUGUCUUAGUUACCUUUCUGCUGCUAUGACAAAUGACCUAACGAAGCAGCUUAGGAAGGAAGGACUCAGAUGGUUGGUCACAUGGUAUCUGAAGUCAGGGAGCAGAAAAUAAUGGAUGCUGCUGCUGGCCUGACUUUCUCCUUUUUAUCCAGUCCAGGCCACCAGCCCAAGGAAUCACUAAUAUUUAUCGUGGGCCUUCCCACCUCAGUUAACUGAUCUAGAUAACCUCUCACCAACGAGCUCAGAGGCUUGUCUCUGGUUAUUCUAGACCUUGUCAAGUUGACAGGCAAGAAUAACUGUCAGCUCCCCUCACCUGUGCUGGCACAAGCACUCCUGAUUAAAUGCUGUGGGAUCAAGGAAAGAUAUGGAAGUAGGAGGGGGCUUGUUGGGGGAACGGGGUAAAGUAGGCUGUUGAGGGGAUGUGAUCAAAGUACAUUGUGUGUGUGUGUGAGAGAGAGAGUGUGUGUGUGUGUGAGAGAGAGAGAGUGUGUGUGUGUAUGAAUGUGUGUGUAAAUGUGUGUGUGAGUGUGUUUAUAUACACAUGCAUGUAUGCAUGCACAGUACACCAGAAGAAGAUAUCUUGUGGGAGUUCAUUCUCUCCUUUUGCCAUGUAGGUCCUGGGGAUCAAAUUCAGAUCUUCAGAUUUGGUGGCAAACUGGCUGAGUCAUCUCACCAGCUCCCUUACAGUAACCUGGAACUAUAAGGCUGUUGUGCAAACAAAGGUGACUAAGGCCUCUGCAGCAACCUGUGCUCUGGUUUCACCGCCUUCCACGCCAGUCUUUCCCACCUGAUCCCGUUACAUCUCCCCGUGUCUCCUUUAUCGCUUCCAGUCUGCAGGAGCGUUUAUUUUACCCUGAGUUGUUCUUUGUCUUUUACUACCUUGACAUAUUAAAGGAGCUAUUUUGUAGAGUAUCCCUCAA